rnacentral:rRNA from 1 species
GUUGAACGCUGGCGGCAUGCCUAACACAUGCAAGUCGAACGGGUUGUAGCAAUACAACUAGUGGCGGACGGGUGAGGAAUACAUAGGAAUUUGCCUUUAGGUGGGGGAUAGCCCGGGGAAACUCGGAGUAAUACCGCAUGAUGUCGCAAGACCAAAGCCGGGGAUCGCAAGACCUGGCGCCUUUAGAGAAGCCUAUGUCUGAUUAGCUAGUUGGUAGGGUAAUGGCCUACCAAGGCGACGAUCAGUAACUGGUCUGAGAGGACGAUCAGUCACACCGGAACUGAGACACGGUCCGGACUCCUACGGGAGGCAGCAGUGGGGAAUAUUGG